CCAUAUCGAAGGAAAAAGAUCAAUUUCAAUAUUGUGGACACAAUAAUAUCCAGGAAACUGUCAGAGAUAAAAAAAUAGUGUAAGUGAAGAAAGAUUUUUUUAUGUUACACAAAAGAACAAUUGUUGAUUUAAAUGAUAACAUUUAAAUUCCGUUAGAAGUCACUAGGAAACAUUAGAAUCCUCUAUGAAUUAUUCCAAAAUAUACAACUUUGAUAUAUUCCUGAAAUAUUUAAAAUUAUAUUUAACAAAUCAAUGUUUUAGCAUUUUAUUAAUAAGAUUCACUAAAGAUUAAUUCGACAUAUCAUGAAUUUGGUUAUCUUGUAACUGCAAUAUCUAAAUCCGAAUAAUUCCAUACUAUUUAAUCAUUAUAUCUGUUAAUCUUCACAUUCCGUUGGUUAAUCUCGACCACAUAUCAUUAUACAAUCAUUUUCAUGAAAUUCUCACGAAUUCUAAAAAAAAGACACUCGAAAUUAAGCAAUUUACGAUAUUCGAAAUCCUGAUAUUAAAGUUUCUGAAACUAGAGUUUAUUUUAUUGCGCAGCUUCACGUUUCUAACUUUAUCACUUUCCAAGUGUUAUAAUUCAUCGAACUUGUACAGCUGCAGAAACAGAUACAUAUCCAACGACACGAUCAUUAAGCAAGCUGGUAAAUUAGAAAACAUGUAGCGCCACCAUUUUGAAGGUUAGUUCUUGUUUUGUCAUUUGUGGAACACAUAGCACGUUCUCGAACUUGUGUCACACCGCAGUUUAAAUCACGGGAUGUGGAUUAGCAUAACGAGUAAGCAUGGCGCAUAAUGCACAAUGAUAAUUUGCGUUCAACUUCCCGUGCAAUUUAGAUAUCAGAUUGCUAAAGGGGCGUUCUAUUAAACUGGACACAGGAAAUAUCACCUGAUAGAUAGUGAAAAAGUAGAUUUACGAGAUAGCGUGCCGUAUUGUAUGAUGCGUAAUAAUGAGGUUAUGUUGAAAUUACUCGAUAUUCGAUCAUUUAUCUUCAAAUCUGAUCAAUUUGCAAUUUAUUAUAUUAUAGAAAACAUUCUAUAAUAUAAUAACGUUUACAAUUCCUAAGAAGUGACUAGAGAGAUUUUUCCAAAAUGUAAAAUUUAAUAUUCUAUAUCCAAAGAAAUUUGCAGUACAUAUUUAACUAUUUAUAUAAUGUAUAAUAUUUAAAUUUUCGAAAUAUAACUUUAAAAUGUAUCUUUUAAAAUCUUGAAGAUAUUUAAUGCUUUAAUGUUUAAUUGGAAGAAUCGUAUGAUUAUGUAUAUUUUUGAAAUCACACGUGUAUUAUCUUGGGAAAUGAUGGAUCGAAUCGAUAUUAUUCAUCGCAUGACUCAAACUUCUUUUAUAUUAUGUUUUUCAUAUCAAUCCAAGACAACAGAGACCAACCAUGGAAUCGACUGAAUAAAUUUUAAUUUUCCAACCUGCCAGGUUAUUCACGUACGUAGAUAACAAAGUUAAAUUAACUAGGCAGCUAUUCUUCCACGUAUUCACGAUUGUUUCUCUUGUAUAUUAGUUUUUUCAAAGUUAAUCAUUCUUUUGUUUAAUUAUUCGUAAUGAAUCGACAAUAAAAUGAAAUAUCAUUCUUUGUCCAAGCUUCUUUGUACCACAUUUUUCGUUCAAACAUAUAUCGUAACUUUUCCAUGUCUAUUCAUGAAUUAAUUUCGUAUUUUAAAGUGACGUUGAACAGCAUCGUACUAUGACAGGUUGAAACUUCUUUGGAUUAUUCGCAAUGUUAUAAUGUUGUUGGACGGAUGUUUAGUGCAGCAGGUAACGAGAUCAACAGGAUAACAACAUGCGACAUGUUUGAUCAUUACUAUCGAAGAAGGAUAUUUCCAGUGAAACAGGAAAUUCUAAUUCUAAUUCUAAAAUCUAAUAUUUAUUAUAAUAUAUAUUUCGUAUAAAUAGGAUCAUCAUUUAUUAAUUUUUCCAUUUUCCAUUAUUGUUGGCAACGAUUUUAUGAAAAAAAUUCAUUUAACAUCUCGAUCUUAUUAUCUUUAAUAAAUAUCGAUAUUUUACGUUUGCAGAAGAUUACAGAUCGUACAUUUUCAGAUUUAUAUUGCUAUAUCGUCGCGAUAAGAUAAUUCCUCAACUAUGGGAGUGGCCCUAAGAGCUUUGGGAUUCGGGGCCAUCGCAGAUGAUAUUCGUUUCAGAAUAUCAAACUGGUGUGUAACAUCUGUGCCAAGAGGGUCACUCCUAAUAACGGACAAUGGAUAAUAAUAUAACAUUGGGAUAUAUUUUAAUUACCUGUGAUCGACAUAUGGGCCGAUAACCACGUCGAAUAGAAAAAUAAAAUUUAUUUGAAACUCUUUGAAAUUUAAAAAAGUUUAUGGAAAAGAUCGGAAAGGGAUGAUCGAUACAUAAGAUCUAAUACAACAUGGAACAGAUAGGGGGAUUACAAUUAAGCCGAAUUACAAAUGCCACAUCGGCGUUAGAAUACGUAUUUCCAUCCGAACAGAAACCUAUUGGAAUUUUGAAAAGGACCGAAAUGAUAACGGAAACUGGAGGAUAAGUUAGAAGCAGAGUUGGAAUUUUUGAGAUUGAAAGUACGCAAUUCUUAUAUUAUUUUUCGACGAAAAAAUGAAAAGAAAAAUUCCACGAUAGUCAAAUUCAACAAUGAGGGGAAAACGAGUUGAAUUAACUCCGGAACCGGAGUGCCUAAUGGGGAACACGAUUGUCGUGUGAUUAAAAUACAAAUGGGAAAAGGUCAACAGUGAAGCGAUCGGCGUGCACAGGAUUUGUAUUGUGCCCGUGGCACAAGUUUCGCGGAAAUGAAAACGAAUAAUUCAUUAACGUUCACAACAUUAUUAUUAUUAUUCCCUCUCAGUUAUAUCGAAACAGUAUUUUUCUAGUACGACCCGCUCGUCAUUUCUGCUAAUUUUUGCGUUUACCCACCUCGCAUGUUAUCUACCGAUGAUAACAUUCGACUUAACGUGCGAUUUAAUAUUUACGCCAUCGUACUAAUUGCAAUUUCGCCCUCCAGAAAAAUAAUGUCACCUGCUUGCGCAUGUGUUUCAAUAAAAACGGGAGUAAUAUUCUUUUUUUUCUUUUCGCUCGCGAAAUUAUAAACAAAUUAUUUGUUCCCAAUUUGUUUUUCUUUCGAUGUUAUUUUUAAGGAUAAUUCUUCUUCUUUUAUAAUUUUAUAACAGUUAUGACAGGAAGAUAUAUAUAUUUGCAAUUUAAUUUCAAUAUCCAUUUUAAGAUUUUUUUUUUAAAACUCGUUGUUACGUAUAUCAUAAUAUAAAUUGUAACGAAAGUAUAUAUUUCUGAAACUCACCGUAAUAGAGAGCGUAAAAGUUUGUAUUUUUAUGCGGCUUUAUUACUAAGGCUUGUUCCCUAAGCGCCUCGCUUAUAAAAUUCGCAUUACAUCGUGAAUUACAUCGAACGUAUCCCUUCCACGCGUUAACGCCUCCGAGAAAACGUAUUAAACGUUGCCGUAAAGUAUUGCCAAGAAUGUUAUUUGCGUUAAAAAAAUAUAUAACACUAAUUGUUCAAUAUUGGAAAAAAAUCAGAAGUUAUAAAAAAAAAACAAGAUAAAUUGUACAAGUUGUUCGAGAUGUAUAAUUUUGCAAAGAAUUUCUCUUCGACAAAACACAUUUAUGCGAGAAUUUCACUAUUUACGAAAGUAUUUACAAAAAUUGACACACACACACAUGUACACACACACAGAGAGAGUACAAACAAAUUAUAUUAACACCUUCUUUUCAAGUUUCAAAUUUCAAGUGAACGCACUCGAAACGAGAGUUUCAAAGUUGAACAAGCUAGUCGUUCUAUUAAUUGUCGAACAUGUUUCGAAACUAGUAAAUACUGUAUCACUAGUAUAUUUCAAAUUGUGCGAUGAAACGUCGAACAAACUUGUUCGAAUUUCUGAUAGCCGUAGAAACUUAGUCCGAUGGAACUUCUCGUUCGCGAAAGACUCGUUCCCUAUUUGAAGGUAUUCCAAAAUGUCAAAUUCUAUCGAACAUUUGUGAUAAAACAAACAGAGAUUAAAUUGAAAGCCAAAAUCAAGAUUCGUAUCGCGUUAUAUAUUUUAUAACUUCGUGAUUUUAUGGCAUCGUUAUUCGUGAAUUUAAAAAUUUCAUAUAUAAAUAUUUGACGAGUCCGAAUGGCUUAUAAACAAUGAUGAUUCCGGAUGGAGAAAUAUUCAACUCACGUAGAAACGAAAUGUUUUAUUUUAAACGAGUUCCCCGAGCAAAGAAAUUUUGUGACCUUGUUAUCGAAACUCGCCUGAAUUCUGAUACUCGUUUGUCCAACCGACUAGUUUCUUUCGUCAUAACCUUUUUUUAAGUGGCAAUAAUCUAUCGCUAUUACUUCGACUAUUUUCUUAAUAAUUUUCAAAAAUCUGUUAAUUAUCGUGAUAUUCUCUAAGUACUAACAAUCGAUUCUCGACAUUCUCGAUACACUUGGUUUUCUUUAACGAUUUCGAUAACUCGUUAAAAAAUAAAUCGAUCGUGGUAAUAUUCCGAUUACCAACAGUCGAUAUUCUCGAUACAUUUGGCUCGAAUGGUUUGGUUCUCUUCUCUCGAACGUAACGCUUGCUAAAAUUCGCUAUCUUUAAAAAAUUGUUAAUUUAACCAUAGCGGUUAGUUAUGUAUACAUGUAUAAAGAUUUUUAGUUCGAUAUUUUGUAAUGUAAUCAUUUAUGGACAAUUAAAACUACGAAUUUUAAUUAGAAGUUGAAAACACUUGGAGCGUUAUCUCGUUUUAACAAAAUUAAAACUCGAGAUCGAGGGUUAAUUUGAUAAAUAGGAAAUUGGAUAUUUCCAAAUUUUAAAAAAUUUUCUAAAAAUGAAAAAAGAGAGCAUCUUUCAAUUUCUUUAUAUCGUAUUUACAUUUUUAUUAAAGAAUCUUUUAAUAAAAAUUUCUCAAAAUCGAAAAUACAUUAAGAAAAUUUUCACAGAGUUUAAUUAUUAAGGCAUUUAAAAGAAAAUAUAGCAUAGAAAAAUAAUAAUCGAUAUAAAAAUUAGUUGUAAUAAAAUUUUCAAAAUAUAUUUCAUCUUAUAUUAAA